UACGAAGGGGGCUAGCGUUGCUCGGAAUCACUGGGCGUAAAGCGCACGUAGGCGGCUUUUUAAGUCAGGGGUGAAAUCCUGGAGCUCAACUCCAGAACUGCCUUUGAUACUGGGAAGCUUGCGUCCGGAAGAGGUGAGUGGAACUCCGAGUGUAGAGGUGAAAUUCGUAGAUAUUCGCAAGAACACCAGUGGCGAAGGCGGCUCACUGGCCCGAUACUGACGCUGAGGCACGAAAGCGUGGGGAGCAAACAGG
rnacentral:rRNA from 1 species